GUCUUCCAGUCUCAGGGGUAUGGAGUGCAGGUGCACCUCAAAUGGAAUACACACGGAGACCAUCCAAUGAAGCACUUCCCCAUCAGUUUAAGAGUUUCAGACUGCUACUAGCAAGUCAGGGUCCUGUACCAGAUAUGGACUGGCUACAGAGUUUCCAUCACAGAGAGAGUACAAGAGAGGUGCACUCUAGAAGAUCCUUAAAUGCACUGUGACCUAUAGCUGUUACACACUGAAGUAAGAAUCAUUACUAAAGACAGUUCAGAUCCUCAGCUGGUAUAAUUCAUCUAACUCCCCUGAAGUCAAUGGAACGACACCAGUUUACUUCAGCUUAGUCUGGCCCUGUUUGUGCACCAAGUCAAUCAAUAACAAGAAGUGAAAAUAACGCAGAAUGAGCAUAACAAUGAAUUUCAUUCUGAGCACACGUUGCAACAAAUGUA